GACGAACGCUGGCGGCGUGCUUAACACAUGCAAGUCGAACGGACGAGUGAGAUAAGUUUACUUAACUCACAAGUUAGUGGCGGACGGGUGAGUAACACGUGGAUAAUCUACCUGCAACACCGGGAUAACGCUGUGAAAACGGUGCUAAUACCGGAUACGUUCCCUUGUGCGCAUGUAUGAGGGAAGAAAGCUCAGGCGGUUGCAGAUGAGUCCGCGGCUGAUUAGCUAGUUGGUGAGGUAAAGGCUCACCAAGGCGAUGAUCAGUAGCCGGCCUGAGAGGGUGAACGGCCACACUGGGACUGAGACACGGCCCAGACUCCUACGGGAGGCAGCAGUGGGGAAUCUUCCGCAAUGGGCGCAAGCCUGACGGAGCAACGCCGCGUGGGUGAAGAAGGCCUCGGUUGUAAGACCUGUCUUAUGGAGAAGUACAGUGACGGUACCAUAGGAGGAAGCCACGGCGUAACUACGUGCCAGCAGCCGCGGUAAGAGUAGUACAC
rnacentral:rRNA from 1 species